rnacentral:rRNA from 1 species
ACUCAAAUGAAUUGACGGGGGCCCGCACAAGCGGCGGAGCAUGCGGCUUAAUUCGAUGCAACGCGAAGAACCUUACCUGGGCUUGACAUACACCGAAAACUCACAGAGAUGUGGGGUCCUUUUUGGGCGGUGUACAGGUGGUGCAUGGUUGUCGUCAGCUCGUGUCGUGAGAUGUUGGGUUAAGUCCCGCAACGAGCGCAACCCUUGUUCGGUGUUGCCAGCACGUAGUGGUGGGGACUCACCGGAGACUGCCGGGGUCAACUCGGAGGAAGGUGGGGAUGACGUCAAAUCAUCAUGCCCCUUAUGUCCAGGGCUGCACGCAUGCUACAAUGGCCGGUACAAACAGUGGCGAUACCGUAAGGUGGAGCGAAUCUGAAAAAGCCGGUCUCAGUUCGGAUUGGGGUCUGCAACUCGACCCCAUGAAGGUGGAGUCGCUAGUAAUCGCAGAUCAGCAACGCUGCGGUGAAUACGUUCCCGGGCCUUGCACACACCGCCCGU